UAAAGAUUUAUUGGUUAUGGAUGGGCAUGCGUGUCAUUAGCUAGAUGGUAAGGUAACGGCUUACCAUGGCUACGAUGACUAGGGGGCCUGAGAGGGUGAUCCCCCACACUGGUACUGAGAUACGGACCAGACUCCUACGGGAGGCAGCAGUAGGGAAUAUUGGUCAAUGGACGAGAGUCUGAACCAGCCAUGCCGCGUGCAGGAAGACGGCCUUCUGGGUUGUAAACUGCUUUUGACAGGGAAGAAAACGGCUAUGCGUAGCUAACUGACGGUACCUGUAGAAUAAGCACCGGCUAACUCCGUGCCAGCAGCCGCGGUAAUACGGAGGGUGCGAGCGUUAAUCGGAAUUACUGGGCGUAAAGCGCGCGUAGGCGGCUUCGUCAGUCAGAUGUGAAAGCCCCGGGCUCAACCUGGGAACUGCAUUUGAUACUGCGGAGCUAGAGUAUGGUAGAGGAUAGUGGAAUUCCAGGUGUAGCGGUGAAAUGCGUAGAUAUCGGGAGGAACAUCGAUGGCGAAGGCAGCCAACUGGGCCUGAUCUGACGCUGAGGUACGAAAGCGUGGGGAGCAAACAGGAUUAGAUACCCUGGUAGUCCACGCCGUAAACGAUGUCUACUAGCCGUUGGGGAACUUGAUUCUUUAGUGGCGCAGCUAACGCACUAAGUUGACCGCCUGGGGAGUACGGUCGCAAGAUUAAAACUCAAAGGAAUUGACGGGGGCCCGCACAAGCGGUGGAGCAUGUGGUUUAAUUCGAUUCAACGCGAAGAACCUUACCAGGACUUUUAUCUAUUUAAUUUUAAGAAAUUAAAAUUUAGUGAAGUAGAAAUAGGUGGUGCAUGGCUGUCGCCAGCUCGUGUCGUGAGAUGUUGGGUUAAUUCCCUUAACGAGCGCAACCCUUGUUUGGUCAGUUGUUAUGGAUUUCUGAGAAGACUGCCGAUGAGAAAUCGGAGGAAGGUAAGGAUGACGUCAAGUCAGUAUGCCCCGUAUGUCCUGGGCUACACACGUGCUACAAUGGUUAAGACAAAGAGCCGCUUACUUGUAAAAGAUGAAGAAGCCAAAGUAAGUAAAAUUAUUUUAGUAAGAGCAAAUCUCCAAACUUAAUCGAAGUUCGGAUUGUAGGCUGCAACUCGCCUACAUGAAGUUGGAAUCGCUAGUAAUCGCUGGUCAGCAGUACAGCGGUGAAUUCGUCCCUGGGCCUUGUACACACCGCCCGUCACACCAUGGAAGUUGGUCAGGCUGGAAACUAAUAUUAAAUUAGUAGUUAAAGUGGGGCGAGCGACUGGGGUGAAGUCGAAACAAGGUAGCCGUACUGGAAGGUGCGGCUGGAUCAUCUA
rnacentral:rRNA from 15 species